CUCGUGUUGUGAAAUGUUGGGUUAAGUCCCGCAACGAGCGCAACCCUUAUCCUUUGUUGCCAGCGGUCCGGCCGGGAACUCAAAGGAGACUGCCAGUGAUAAACUGGAGGAAGGUGGGGAUGACGUCAAGUCAUCAUGGCCCUUACGACCAGGGCUACACACGUGCUACAAUGGCGCAUACAAAGAGAAGCGACCUCGCGAGAGCAAGCGGACCUCAUAAAGUGCGUCGUAGUCCGGAUUGGAGUCUGCAACUCGACUCCAUGAAGUCGGAAUCGCUAGUAAUCGUGGAUCAGAAUGCCACGGUGAAUACGUUCCCGGGCCUUGUACACACCGCCCGUCACACCAUGGGAGUGGGUUGCAAAAGAAGUAGGUAGCUUAACCUUCGGGAGGGCGCUUACCACUUUGUGAUUCAUGACUGGGGUGAAGUCGUAACAAGGUAACCGUAGGGGAACCUGCGGUUGGAUCACCUCCUUACCUUAAAGAAGC
rnacentral:rRNA from 1 species